rnacentral:snoRNA from 1 species
UUGCACUGUUCGUGACCUCUUGACAGCAUAUUUCUGUGAAUAGGUUCCAUUCCAGUGCUACAUGAAAUCCAAUAAUGGAAGGCUGACAAAUUCCAUGUCACUUCUGUAUUUGGAGACAAAA